rnacentral:misc_RNA from 1 species
GAUGAAGAACGUAGUGAAAUGCGAUAACUAGUGUGAAUUGCAGAAUUCCGUGAAUCAUCGAGUCUUUGAACGCACAUUGCGCCCCCUGGUAUUCCGGGGGGCAUGCCUGUCCGAGCGUCAUUGCUGCCCAUCAAGCACGGCUUGUGUGUUGGGUCGUCGUCCCCCCCUCCGGGGGGGGACGGGCCCUAAAGGCAGCGGCGGCACCGCGUCCGAUCCUCGAGCGUAUGGGGCUUUGUCACCCGCUCUGUAGGCCCGGCCGGCGCUUGCCGAACGCAAAACAACCAUUCUUUCCAGGUUGACCUCGGAUCAGGUAGGGAUACCCGCUGAACUUAAGCAUAUCAAUAAGCGGAGGA